UGAACCUAUGCUCAGUUCCCUUCUAUGCGCGUUUGAAUUUUUUGAUAGGUGAAAAAUCCUUUUGUAACUCUAAGAAGGUUCUAAUUGGAUUGGCCAAAAAAUGAGCAUAAAUAUAAUGAUAAGGUGCACACAAAUUGGAGUCUUAGAUUAAUGGUCUGAAUAUAGCCAAGAAAUAUUCCUGCUAGGCUGUUGUUUAAGUACUUACGAAACAAUAUCAGAGGGAUGCAACGGCUAAAAUAUGUAGGGUUUGUGAGCUUGGAGCAAGAGAUGCGCUGAUCAUCUUUUAUGUACCUUCCUAAUUUUAUUAAAUGAUAAAAUUGUUGGAAAAGAGUAUGAUUAGCCUACUGAUUCUGCAGUGCUUAAUAUGAUUAUUAUUGCAAAAGAGCAUGAGAACAUCCCAUAUGGUUUACUACAUUCACAUGCAUCUUAGCAGCAUCACGUGAUUAAGCUCAUACAAUUUGAAAUUUCUUAUUUGUGGAUUCAUGCCUAGGCUACAUAUGACAGAUGCAUUCUAACCUAUAAGGAGGCUGGCCAACUUGCCUCCACAGAGCUCCCACGACUGGGCCCUUUCUGACUGUCCGAUCACGAUCAUGCCAUGUUUUAGCGCUCAUGGAGUUCCCGUGAUAUACGUUGAGUCUGGUGAUCCUUACAAAACAUAUAUGGAAGGCUAUGGAUCUUAUCAUGGAUGAGCUCGAAAAUAUAUUAAUUUCAAAUCCAUAUAUACAUCACACUCAUACCCGAAACUGAACAGGGACAAGAACAUGCAAUUAUAUGUUGUGGUAGAUUUCAAAAGAGACCCAUGGCCCAGAGUAGUUUUGCACAAAUGAAGGAUAUCAGACAGACCCAUGGAGCAAGAGAUCCUCUUUGUCAGGGCCACCUUACUUGUAUGGCCUCAAGCUCAGGGGACCCUUCUAACUAAGGUGGUUAUUACUUGCUGAUUUGAACCUAGAAUAGAAUGUCAUUUCGUGCUUGUCAGUAGGAUCUCAUGUUUAAUCUAUAGAUCUUUUUAGUCAGUGUAUUUGCAAACCAGUUGCGAGUUAGUACCUAGGAAAAUGAACAUUUUUCGACCUCAUAUUUGCAUAUCAGUAUCCUUGUCUAAUUUAAGAUUACUUUUCUUAUCAUGAAGAAGAUUUGUGCUGCUGCCGCAUUCUUCAGUUUCUGGUGUUUUAGAUGUUAGUUCAUUGUUGAGAUAGUUUUGGUAUGUCCGUCUUUUGGAAAAUAUGUAUUUUUUGUUUUCUGGACGUUGUUGCAGAUCCUAUGCACCUGCCUCCUUCCUCUAGGCACGUGAAGGCUAACAUGAGGAGCUGACGAGCUAAACAAGGAGCUGGAGCAGGAUUGUAGGAGGGAGGUACACUAGGGGCUGGAGCAGGACAACCAUUGUUUCAGAUCCACUUGACUCAUCCCAAGUGGUUGCAAUGUCUUCUUAUGUAAUUUUUAUUUACACACAUAAUGAUAAGAGACUUAUUUUUUCUGAAUGAUUAGGUUCAUAGUAGUUUAAAAAAGGAUACAAAAAUAUGAAAAUAAGAGCUUCCAUUCAUAAAAUUUGUACAAAAUGUCCCUUUCCAUAAUGAAGUUGGUUUCUAAUCA